UACGUAGGGGGCAAGCGUUGUCCGGAAUCAUUGGGCGUAAAGAGCGUGUAGGCGGUUCGGUAAGUCGGAUGUGAAAGCCCUGGGCUCAACCCAGGAAGUGCAUACGAAACUGGCGAGCUUGAGUAUGGAAGAGGGUCGCGGAAUUCCCGGUGUAGAGGUGAAAUUCGUAGAUAUCGGGAGGAACACCAGUGGCGAAGGCGGCGACCUGGGCCAAUACUGACGCUGAGGUGCGAAAGCGUGGGGAGCAAACAGG
rnacentral:rRNA from 1 species